ACUAACAGAUACCCAAUCAUCCAAAGUGUCCAUCAUGUCUGGCUAGCACUCAGGCAUAGCAGCAUGCAUGUCCAGCAUGCCCAGCUCCAACACUUGUAACCAAGGAGUAAGUCAAGAUCAGUAGUUCAUGAGUUGAUUACAUAGGAUGUCAACUGCACAAAAGCAGCAAGUCUUACUGCUUGUAAAAGGAGAGGCAUUUUCACUCUCUACCACAUGAUACUACACAAAAAGCAAGUCUUCACAAAAGAAAAGAGGCAUGCUGCACCCUUCACCAUUUCAUUCAAGAGUAGGGUCGUCUUCAUUGUCAUCGUUGCCAUUGUUAGAAGCGUCGUUGCCAUUGCCAGAUGCGCCGAUGCUGUUGCCAGAUGCAUCGUUGCCAUUGCCACAAGCCCUGUUGCCUAAAGUGCCGCUGCCAGCACCAUUUUCAGCUUCAGAUGACGACUGACUAACCUGCAAGUAGAUGGAAAACAAAAGGGUGAAUGGUUGGAAGAACGGCAAUAUAAAUUUGGCUACAUAUGAGAAGCUCAACUUGUCUGAUUAGAUCUCAAGUGCUAAAAGUAUUGCACCAAAAAUUUAGUUCCGUCCAGCACACAAUGAUGGACAGUAACAUUUUAACACAGAUAGAUUAGAAAUGAACAUGAUGGACAGUAACAUUUUAGACAUACUGGAAUGUGUUUACAACAGUCAAGGGGGGCAAACUAGACCAUAUCUUGGAAUGUGUCUUUAAUUUGACACUGUCAACAGUCAUAUCUUUGAAUCAAAAUUUAUAAUGGUCACAAGAAAAGCUCAACAGAUAGCUCAGUUCAUGGGCAGAAAGUUGAGUUGCAGCAUGUAACACUAGUGAUCAAAUAAAGUAUUCCAGGACAGUAACACUAAUGAUCCUCUGAGAUAUGCAAUGAUCCUAUUUGCAACAACAUGUACAGAACAAGAUCAAAUAAAGUGCAUGGUAGUACUGCACUGCUCACUUGAUGGUGCGCAAGUAUUUGCUUCUUGCAGAAUGGCGACUAUGUCUUCUGGUACUGGCAUGUUCAUCUUGGCAAAAAGAUCCUACAACACAAGGUGAUUAGGAAAUGCUUCCAAGAAUCAUUAGGUGACUACAAAGUAAGUUGAGUUGACUCAAUUACCGGCACAUGUUGCUCAAAACUAGGCCAAUCUGGUAGCCCUUUCCAGUUGUGCGUUCCGCCUCACAAGAUAUUGAUAAGACCCCGAGUUUGAUUGUCUUGUA
rnacentral:lncRNA from 1 species